rnacentral:rRNA from 1 species
AUGCAGGAAGAGUUCGACGCUCUCCAACGGAACCGCACCUGGACUCUGGUUCCCCGGCCUCCUCGCGCCAACAUCAUCACCGGCAAGUGGGUCUUCCGUCAUAAGACCCGCUCAGACGGUUCACUUGAGCGCUACAAGGCUCGCUGGGUGGUCCGCGGUUUCCGCCAGCGCGCUGGAGUUGAUUUCACGGAGACGUUCGCCCCGGUUGUCAAACCGGGCACGAUCCGCACUGUCCUCCAGCUCGCCGUUUCUCGCGGCUGGCCCGUUCACCAGAUGGAUGUCUCCAACGCCUUCCUCCACGGCCAUCUUGAGGAGCAGGUGUUUUGUGAGCAACCCACCGGUUUCGUCGACGCCUCAUUCCCCGGCCAUGUGUGCCUGCUGUCGCGCUCUCUUUACAGGCUCAAGCAGGCACCCCGCGCCUGGUACCAGCGGAUC